AAGCUUGUAACUCAGUGGAAAAAGAGUACGUGCUUCCGAAGCAUGGUGUCGUGGGUUCAAAUCCCGCCAAGCUUG